rnacentral:rRNA from 1 species
GUGCCUUCGGGAACUGUGAGACAGGUGCUGCAUGGCUGUCGUCAGCUCGUGUUUUGAAAUGUUGGGUUAAGUCCCGCAACGAGCGCAACCUUUAUCCUUUGUUGCCAGCGGUUAGGCCGGGAACUCAAAGGAGACUGCCAGUGAUAAACUGGAGGAAGGUGGGGAUGACGCCAAGACAUCAUGGCCCUUACGUCCCGUGCUACACACGUGCUACAAUGGCGCAUACAAAGAGAAGCGACCU